rnacentral:misc_RNA from 1 species
UCCGACUUAUCAUCGGCAGUUUCCAUAGAGUGCCCAACUGAAUGCUGGCAACUAAAAGCAGGGGUUGCGCUCGUUGCGGCACUUAAGCCAACACCUCACGGCACGAGCUGACGAUAGCCAUGCAGCACCUGUGCUAGCCCCUUACGGACACGGGCUUUCACCCGCUUUAACUAGCAUGUCAAGCCUAGGUAAGGUUCUUCGCGUUGCGUCGAAUUAAACCACAUGCUCCACCGCUUGUGCGGGCCCCCGUCAAUUCCUUUGAGUUUCAGCCUUGCGGCCGUACUCCCCAGGCGGGGCGCUUAAUGCGUUAGCUGCGGCACAGAAAGCCUGAAACGACCCCCCACACCUAGCGCCCAACGUUUACAGCGUGGACUAC